CAGAGAAGGGAAGAAAGGGAAAAACCCUAGCUUGAUCAAUUAACCACAAAAUCAGUACGAUUAUGAAGGAUUCAUGUUACAAAUCGAAUGCUAGUGUCUAAAUACUCAUUAAUCCCAGUGUUUUGAGCAUAAGGAUCGAAAGAAGAAGGAGCUAGUUCCGGAUCACAAACAAAGGCGCAAGAUCGAGGAUCGAAAGAAGAAGGAGCUAGUUCCGGAUCACAAACAAAGGCGCAAGAUCGAGGUAAAGCACCCGUAUGAUGGUCAUUGCGUCGCUUGGACACGAACACACCUUGAACACCCGUGAUGCGCUUCCGCACUUUUGUAGAUGCCAUAUUAGUUAAAGACUUUUGUUUAAAUUAGUAGUGUUGAAGUUUUAAAUUAUCUAGUUGUUUGUG